CCUACGGGUGGCAGCAGUGGGGAAUUUUGGACAAUGGGCGCAAGCCUGAUCCAGCUAUUCCGCGUGUGGGAUGAAGGCCCUCGGGUUGUAAACUCCUGUUGUUGGGGAAAAGAAGGAUGGUACCCAACAAGGAAGUGACGGCUAACUACGUGCCAGCAGCCGCGGUAAAACGUAGGUCACGAGCGUUGUCCGGAAUUACUGGGUGUAAAGGGAGCGCAGGCGGGUAUGCAAGUUGGGAGUGAAAUACAUGGGCUCAACCCAUGAACUGCUCUCAAAACUGUGUAUCUUGAGUAGUGCAGAGGUAGGCGGAAUUCCCGGUGUAGCGGUGGAAUGCGUAGAUAUCGGGAGGAACACCAGUGGCGAAGGCGGCCUACUGGGCACCAACUGACGCUGAGGCUCGAAAGUGUGGGGAGCAAACAGGAUUAGAUACCCCGGUAGUC
rnacentral:rRNA from 1 species